AUUGAACGCUGGCGGCAUGCUUUACACAUGCAAGUCGAGCGGCAGCGCGGGGGCAACCCUGGCGGCGAGCGGCGAACGGGUGAGGAAUACAUCGGAACGUACCCCGGAGUGGGGGAUAACGCCGCGAAAGCGGCGCUAAUACCGCAUAUGCUCUGAGGAGGAAAGUGGGGGACCGCAAGGCCUCACGCUCUGGGAGCGGCCGAUGUCCGAUUAGCUAGUUGGUGGGGUAAAGGCCCACCAAGGCGACGAUCGGUAGCUGGUCUGAGAGGAUGAUCAGCCACACUGGGACUGAGACACGGCCCAGACUCCUACGGGAGGCAGCAGUGGGGAAUUUUGGACAAUGGGGGCAACCCUGAUCCAGCCAUGCCGCGUGCGGGAAGAAGGCCUUCGGGUUGUAAACCGCUUUUAGUCGGGAAGAAAAGGCAGCUCUUAAUACGGGCUGUUCUUGACGGUACCGGCGGAAUAAGCACCGGCUAACUACGUG
rnacentral:rRNA from 1 species